GACGUAGGGUCCAAGCGUUGUCCGGAUUUACUGGGCGUAAAGAGCGCGUAGGCGGUCUGUUAAGUGUAGAGUGAAAUCUCCAGGGCUCAACCCGGAAACUGCUCUGCAUACUGGCAGACUGGAGUGAUGCAGAGGUUUGUGGAAUUCCUGGUGUAGCGGUGAAAUGCGUUGAUAUCAGGAGGAACACCCAUGGCGAAGGCAGCAAACUGGGCAUUAACUGACGCUGAGGCGCGAAAGCGUGGGUAGCAAA
rnacentral:rRNA from 1 species